rnacentral:rRNA from 1 species
AUUGAACGCUGGCGGCAUGCCUUACACAUGCAAGUCGAACGGCAGCACGGAGCUUGCUCUGGUGGCGAGUGGCGAACGGGUGAGUAAUAUAUCGGAACGUACCCUAGAGUGGGGGAUAACGUAGCGAAAGUUACGCUAAUACCGCAUACGAUCUAAGGAUGAAAGUGGGGGAUCGCAAGACCUCAUGCUCGUGGAGCGGCCGAUAUCUGAUUAACUGGUUGGUAGGGUAAAAGCCUACCAAGGCAUCGAUCAGUAGCUGGUCUGAGAGGACGACCAGCCACACUGGAACUGAGACACGGUCCAGACUCCUACGGGAGGCAGCAGUGGGGAAUUUUGGACAAUGGGCGAAAGCCUGAUCCAGCAAUGCCGCGUGAGUGAAGAAGGCCUUCGGGUUGUAAAGCUCUUUUGUCAGGGAAGAAACGGUGAGAGCUAAUAUCUCUUGCUAAUGACGGUACCUGAAGAAUAAGCACCGGCUAACUACGUGCCAGCAGCCGCGGUAAUACGUAGGGUGCAAGCGUUAACCGGAAUUACUGGGCGUAAAGCGUGCGCAGGCGGUUUUGUAAGUCUGAUGUGAAAUCCCCGGGCUCAACCUGGGAAUUGCAUUGGAGACUGCAAGGCUAGAAUCUGGCAGGGGGGGGUAGAAUUCCACGUGUAGCAGUGAAAUGCGUAGAUAUGUGGAGGAACACCGAUGGCGAAGGCAGCCCCCUGGGUCAAGAUUGACGCUCAUGCACGAAAGCGUGGGGAGCAAACAGGAUUAGAUACCCUGGUAGUCCACGCCCUAAACGAUGUCUACUAGUUGUCGGGUCUUAAUUGACUUGGUAACGCAGCUAACGCGUGAAGUAGACCGCCUGGGGAGUACGGUCGCAAGAUUAAAACUCAAAGGAAUUGACGGGGACCCGCACAAGCGGUGGAUGAUGUGGAUUAAUUCGAUGCAACGCGAAAAACCUUACCUACCCUUGACAUGGCUGGAAUCCUCGAGAGAUUGAGGAGUGCUCGAAAGAGAACCAGUACACAGGUGCUGCAUGGCUGUCGUCAGCUCGUGUCGUGAGAUGUUGGGUUAAGUCCCGCAACGAGCGCAACCCUUGUCAUUAGUUGCUACGAAAGGGCACUCUAAUGAGACUGCCGGUGACAAACCGGAGGAAGGUGGGGAUGACGUCAAGUCCUCAUGGCCCUUAUGGGUAGGGCUUCACACGUCAUACAAUGGUACAUACAGAGCGCCGCCAACCCGCGAGGGGGAGCUAAUCGCAGAAAGUGUAUCGUAGUCCGGAUUGUAGUCUGCAACUCGACUGCAUGAAGUUGGAAUCGCUAGUAAUCGCGGAUCAGCAUGUCGCGGUGAAUACGUUCCCGGGUCU